rnacentral:lncRNA from 1 species
AAUGGCGGAGCCAGGAUUCACAGCCCGGGCUUUUGACACUCCGCCUUGCUGCUUUUUUAACGUGGGUUUUCACGAGAACCGGAUGUGUGCAUAUAUGUAUGAGAAUGCAAGCCUGCAUGAAAAUACAGGUUCCCAUGGUACGGAUAUGUAUCUAUUUUUGCUCACUUAUGUCUUCCCGUCCCUCAGCUCAGCCAUCCAAAAACUUACCGAACGCUAGUGCAACAGGAAAGGAAACAUACCAACUUGGAAAAUUCUUAUCCCAUAAUCAAGGCGACCCAUCCAAAGACAUUAAGAGGUGUCAUCGGUCAAGUAACAUUCCCGUUGUAACUGGAGAAGGUGCUCGAUCCAUUUUACACGCUAAGGUGAGUAGCUAAGUGAGAUAAGGAAAAUAUUGUUUUUGGGGUUUUUUUUUUACUUUGUGGAUUAGGCCCGAUGUAUACUUUGGACAUGUGUCAUUUUUCUGGGAGCUUUAUAAAGAAGUUCUACUCUCUAUAAAUAAAUUGCACUCAGUUUUUGAAGUAUCAUUUCAAUGGUACUGUCAUGCGUUAUAUUUUUUUAUGGAAACAUUAGGAAUUUUAUUUGCUAGGUUUUUGAGUUGAAAUGUGGAGGGUGACAUUUUCCGUCAUCCGCGGGAAGAAGAAAAUCAUUUGGCGAGUUUUGAUAUGGGGACGUGUCUCUUUUUCAAAUGGUAUUUGUUAAAUGCUUACUACCUACUAGGCGCCGUCCUAAGCACUGGGGUAGACCCAAGAUCAUCCAGUUGGACACAGUCCUUGUCCAGAAUAGGGCUCACAGUCUCACUCCCCAUUUUACAGAUGGGGUAACCGAGGCACAGAGAAGGUAAGUGACUGGCCCUCGGUCACACAGCGGACAAGGGGCGGAGGAAAUGAUUUUGAUUUAUAGUGCAGGAUGUUAUUUUUGGCUGUCUGGAGCUUACAGAGAAAAUUUUUGUUUCGCUUCACGUCGUGUUGUUACUGGAUUUGUCUUUGUGCGGUUUUUGUUUGGUCUUAAUUCGGAAUAGCUUUCGAUCUCGUAGGACAGCACGGAAGAGGGAUCGGAGCCUUCUUAGAAGGUAAGUGAAGUCUUUGAAGUUGGGUGCUUCUUGUUUCUGGAUCACAGAGAGAGGUAAAAGGAUUGCUGUGGAGAGGAGAAGCUAGAAGACUUGUGGAGCGACGGGUAAGACCCCUGCUUGCUGCACGCAAGGUCAUAGGUUCAAAUUUGCCUUGGUAUAUAAAUAAGGUAAUUUUUUUUUAAUAUAAAGUGAUUAUCUGCCUGUAGAGUGGUUGGUGUGUAGUGAGGCGAUUUAUCUUUUGGCUAAAGAGUAAUAUGGCUUCUAUAUAUGUAUUUUUUCGUUGUUCCAGUUACAUGGAGAGAGGUGAAGGUAAGAGGGAACAGAGUCUUCUUGGAAGAUAAUUAAAGUCAUCAGAACAGGUGCUCCUCGUUCCCGGUUCGUGGAAAGAGGCAAUGGGAGAGGGAGGGAGAAGGAGGGCUCUGUGGAGCCACGGGGAAGAGCCCUGCUCUCGGACUAGGAGGCCGUAGGUUCAAACCCACCCCGGGAGGCGAUCGGGAUGAUUUUUUUUAAUAUAAAAGGAGGACGGGCCUCUCGGUCGGCAUGUUAGCGGUGAGAUAUCUCGCGGAUCAAGAGGAGUCUGGCUUCUCCUUAUGUAUUUUUCUGUUGUGCCCGCUACGUGGAGAGAGGCGGAGGGAACUGAAGUCUGCGGAGCAGGUGAUUCUCGUUUCUGGUGAGAGGUAGGUGGGUGUGGAGCAAGGGGAAAGAGCCCUGCUUGGGAGGCUGUAAGUUUGAAUCUGAGUCGGGAUACAAAUAA